rnacentral:rRNA from 1 species
GUGAGGAAUAUUGGUCAAUGGGCGGGAGCCUGAACCAGCCAAGUCGCGUGAAGGAAGAAGGAUCUAUGGUUCGUAAACUUCUUUUGCAGGGGAAUAAAGUGCAGGACGUGUCCUGUUUUGUAUGUACCCUGAGAAUAAGGAUCGGCUAACUCCGUGCCAGCAGCCGCGGUAAUACGGAGGAUCCGAGCGUUAUCCGGAUUUACUGGGUUUAAAGGGUGCGUAGGUGGUUUGAUAAGUCAGGGGUGAAAGUUUGCAGCUUAACUGUAAAAAUGCCGUUGAAACUGUCGGACUUGAGUGUAAAUGAGGUAGGCGGAAUGCGUGGUGUAGCGGUGAAAUGCAUAGAUAUCACGCAGAACUCCGAUUGCGAAGGCAGCUUACUAAGCUACAACUGACACUGAAGCACGAAAGCGUGGGGAUCAAACAGGAUUAGAAACCCUAGUAGUCC